rfam:Mycobacterium sp. NE-TNMC-100812 PROKKA_contig000164, whole genome shotgun sequence.
GAUUGUUGGCCCUUCGGAGUCGCCCUGCGGGGGGUGGCUUCAAACCGCCACAUGCUGCGGGAUCGGUGACGUGAUCGUGGUGAGCGAUGUGGAAAAGGCGCAGGUGGAUGCGUCAGGU